rnacentral:rRNA from 1 species
GAUGAACGCUGGCGGCGUGCCUAAUACAUGCAAGUCGAGCGAACAGACGAGGAACUUGCUCCUCUGACGUUAGCGGCGGACGGGUGAGUAACACGUGGAUAACCUACCUAUAAGACUGGGAUAACUUCGGGAAACCGGAGCUAAUACCGGAUAAUAUAUUGAACCGCAUGGUUCAAUAGUGAAAGACGGUUUUGCUGUCACUUAUAGAUGGAUCCGCGCCGCAUUAGCUAGUUGGUAAGGUAACGGCUUACCAAGGCAACGAUGCGUAGCCGACCUGAGAGGGUGAUCGGCCACACUGGAACUGAGACACGGUCCAGACUCCUACGGGAGGCAGCAGUAGGGAAUCUUCCGCAAUGGGCGAAAGCCUGACGGAGCAACGCCGCGUGAGUGAUGAAGGUCUUCGGAUCGUAAAACUCUGUUAUUAGGGAAGAACAAAUGUGUAAGUAACUAUGCACGUCUUGACGGUACCUGAUCAGAAAGCCACGGCUAACUACGUG